rnacentral:misc_RNA from 1 species
AACCUAGCACACCUGCGGUGUGUACCUGCGGAGGGAUCAUUACCUAGAGUUGUAGGCUUUGCCUGCUAUCUCUUACCCAUGUCUUUUGAGUACCUUACGUUUCCUCGGUGGGUUCGCCCGCCGGUUGGACAAAACUUAAACCCUUUGUAGUUGCAAUCAGCGUCUGAAAAAACUUAAUAGUUACAACUUUCAACAAUGGAUCU